AAACACGCGUACAGAGUGGUGUACAGCUGCGUAGACAACUUAGCGGUCAGCCUCCUUGGCGUGCUUACAGGUUCACAUCAUUGGCCACAUUCCGCCUGGACAAGAGGACUGCCUGCACGUCUGGAGUGACAACUACAACCGCAUUAUCGAAAGGUACGAGUCGACGGUGCGGGCCCAGUUUUUCGGGCACGCGCACAAGGAUGAACUGGAGCUCCUCUCCGAGCCUGCCCGUGAGCACUACAGGGGAAGGAGGCCGUUCUCGGUAGCCUACGUCACGCCCAGCACCACCACGUUCAACUCGGGUCACCCCGCCUACCGCGUGUACGUCAUCGACGGAAACUACGCCAACAGCGCGUGGGCUGUGUUGGACCACGAGACAUACUUAAUGAACCCGACCGAAACAAACAUGGACCCCCACGAGAGCCUCCCUGGCAACUGGAGUACGCGGCAACAGCCGAGAUUGGCAUGCAGCCCCUGGUCAGCCGAAUGGGACGACCUGCUAAACAAAAUGGAACUCGACGACAGGCUGUUCGACAAGUUCUACAGGUAGGUCUACAUUGCCCAAGGACUGUAUCUUUCGCGACGGAAAAUGGCACUCCAAAAAUAAGUUUAAAAAAAAUGCUCGAACGGCAGAUGACAGCACGACCAUCAACGCUGCAUUGCCUACUGCCAGGUGUUUUAAUGCGAAUCAUUCUGGACGAGCUAAACCAACACCUCACGAAAUGGUUCUAGGAGGUGGUAGUUAAAACCAGUUUUUUUUUCUAACGGGUAUCCGACCUCUUUAGAGAAACGCGGCAACGCUCGACACUUGUGGCUGACGUUAAAUUUCGUGACAUCUACGAGCACACAUAUAAAUUUUGAAUAACGGACCCUUACACUCGGAUCGCCUCUGUCGGUCUGUUUGAGUAAGCGUAUCCAUUUCAGCUUACAUAACAAUCAAUUUGCUGAGAAAAAGACAGCUAAAAGUGUACAGCG